rnacentral:rRNA from 1 species
UGGAAUUGCUAGUAAUCACAGGUCAGCAUACUGUGGUGAAUACGUUCCCGGGCCUUGUACACACCGCCCGUCACACCAUGAGAGUUGAGAAUACCCGAAGCCCAUGUCAAGGUGGUCGAAGGUAGGCUUGAUGAUUGGGGUGAAGUCGUAACAAGGUACC